AACGCGAAGAACCUUACCUGUCUUGACAUGUACGGAAUCCUCCAGAGACGGAGGAGUGCCUUCGGGAGCCGUAACACAGGUGCUGCAUGGCUGUCGUCAGCUCGUGUCGUGAGAUGUUGGGUUAAGUCCCGCAACGAGCGCAACCCUUGUCAUUAGUUGCCAUCAUUUAGUUGGGCACUCUAAUGAGACUGCCGGUGACAAGCCGGAGGAAGGUGGGCAUGACGUCAAGUCCUCAUGGCCCUUAUGACCAGGGCUUCACACGUCAUACAAUGGUCGGUACAGAGGGUAGCCAAGCCGCGAGGUGGAGCCAAUCUCACAAAACCGAUGUAGUCCGGAUUGCACUCUGCAACUCGAGUGCAUGAAGUCGGAAUCGCUAGUAAUCGCAGUCAGC
rnacentral:rRNA from 1 species